GGAUACUCUUCUGGAAUGUUCGUUAUCUUCUACAGCUGCUAUGGCUUCUGGAUUUCCAUCUUCUUCGUAUGAACGUGAUAACGCAUCAGCAACUUUAUUCCAUUCUCCUUUGCGGUAGAUUACCUCGAAGUCGUAUGGUUGAAGGUGCAUUAUCCAUCUUGCCAGUCUAGCAGUAGGUUUUUCCAUGGACGUCAGCCACUUCAAACUUCGGUGAUCUGUAAUCACUUUAAAAUGGUAACCUUCAAGAUACCCUUUCCAUUUGUCAAUCGCCCAGACUACCGCCAAACAUUCUUGUUCUAUUGUAGAAUAAUUCCUCUCUGCAGAAUUGAGUGCUCGGCUAAUGUAAGCAAUGACUUUUUCGGCACCAUCUUGAAUUUGUGAUAGAACUGCUCCAAUUCCUGUGUUGCUGGCAUCUGUUUGCAGUAUAAAUUGUUGAGCAAAAUCUGGGCAGAAGCUGAGUUAACGGUUGAGCUAUUAGAGAGAAUUGUGGAAUAAACUUACGAUACCAUGAGGCCAUUCCCAGGAAUCUCCUGACAGCUUUAACAUUACCCGGUGGUUCCAUCUUUACAAUGGCUUCAACUUUUUCCGGAUCUGGUUUGAUACCACCUUGUGUAACCAUAUGACCCAGGUAUUUUAACUCUGUACGGCAGAACAUGCACUUCUCAUUUUGCAACUGAAGACCAUUUAUACGGAGUCGACGUAAAACUUCUUGUAAGCGAAAGCUUUAUGAU